rnacentral:rRNA from 1 species
UCGCAUCUGUGCAUGCAGCAUAUCAAUAAGCGGAGGAAAAGGUACCUACGCUUAGGAUGUUGACACACGCGCGUGCUCGGCUCUAUACAUGACUCUGUGCAUAUCAAUAAGCGGAGGAAAAGAAACUAACAAGGAUUCCCUUAGUAACGGCGAGUGAAGCGGGAAGAGCUCAAAUUUGAAAUCUUCAAGGUUUUACCUUGACGAAUUGUAGUUUAAAGAAGUGUUUUCUGUUGAAGUUUUGGUAAAAGUUCUUUGGAAUAGGACAUCAUAGAGGGUGAGAAUCCCGUAUUUGACCAUUAUUUUCAGCUGUGUGAUACACUUUCAAAGAGUCGGAUUGUUUGGGAAUGCAGUCCAAAAUGGGUGGUAAAUUUCAUCUAAAGCUAAAUAUUGGCGAGAGACCGAUAGCGAACAAGUGCCGUGAGGGAAAGAUGAAAAGAACUUUGAAAAGAGAGUUAAACAGUACGUGAAAUUGUCAAAAGGGAAGCGUUUGACACCAGUGUUGUUUUCUCGAAAAUCAAUUAAAAAGAGUUUGAUUUUGUUGUGUAUUGACCUUAACAGCUUGCAUUUCAAUUUUCUUGCUUUUUUUAAUGCACUUUUCGUUUAACAAGUCAACAUCAGUUUCUUUUGUUGUAAAAAGGUCAUUGGAAGGUGGCUUUCUUUUCGGAGAAAGUGUUUAUAGCCUUUGACUCCUGCAAUCGGAGAGACUGAGGUCUGCAGCGUAGAUCCUUCGGGGUUAGAUACAUUUGUGCUAAGUUAUAGCUUUUUAUAGACAACUUGUUGACUAUGAUUAGUCUUGUAGCUUACUCGCUUAUGCUAUUUUACCUACGCUUAGGAUGUUGACACACGCGCGUGCUCG